UACGAAGGGGGCUAGCGUUGUUCGGAAUCACUGGGCGUAAAGGGCGCGUAGGCGGCUUUGUAAGUUAGAGGUGAAAGCCCGGAGCUCAACUCCGGAACUGCCUUUAAGACUGCAUCGCUUGAAUCCAGGAGAGGUGAGUGGAAUUCCGAGUGUAGAGGUGAAAUUCGUAGAUAUUCGGAAGAACACCAGUGGCGAAGGCGGCUCACUGGAGCUGGUAUUGACGCUGAGGUGGCGAAAAGCGUGGGGAGCAAACAGG
rnacentral:rRNA from 1 species